GGGAGCGGAUGAGUGUCUGGUGUGCUCUGCGGUCUUCAAAACCGUUGUGAGAAGUGUACUUCUCGGGUAGGUUCGAUUCCUACACGCUCUCGCCA
rnacentral:tRNA from 2 species